GGUUCUGAAGUUUUGGUUCAGUUUUGCACCGAACCGAACCGACUAAUAUUAAUAUUUUAUUAAAUAUUUAUAUUUUAUAAUAUAUUUAAUUUUAGUUUUAACCUAAACUAAGAAAGAAAGUAAGAAACCCUAAGUCUAUCUCCCAUUCUACACUCUGCGCCGCUCCUCCCAGCCUCUCAUUCUACACUCUGCGCUGCUCCUCCCAGCCUCCCAGAUCUGCCCUCUGUCUCCGGCAGUCCGGCGAUCGUCGGCGCGUGUGCAGGCGCGAGGCCCGCUGCUGUCCUCGUCCCCUGCCCAGGCGAGUCCGACAGCCCCCUUCCCAAGCGCGACUGCCCGCUGCCGUCCGCCACUCCUCCGCGUCGCCAACAACCAGACUCCCCUUCCUGCGCGGCCUACCCUCACCUGAUCUUAAUAAGGAAGAGACAUACCAGAGGAGGGAGAAAAAACAAAGGGGCGGUGAAUUCAGUUGGCCAAUGACCGUCGUGGGCCUGGACUGUGGAAAUGUAGCCAAUGACGCGACGGAGCUUGGUGAUGGUUGCUUCAGCCUUCUGCUCCUUCUUUCAAUAUUACGGCACCAGUUGGAAGCAGAGAAGAGUGAUUCUCCUUAUUGUUUAAUAAAGAAAAAAAAUCUCAAAUAGUAUCACUUUGAAUUGACAGAAAUCAGCAUCCUUAUUCAAUAAUUGCAUAAAUUUCUUAUACUUUUCUUACAUAAUUGUAUUUGUGUAAGAAAAGUGUAAGACUUUACACAAAAAUAAUGUAAAUCUAUCAACAUUCAAGAUCAAUUUAGACAUUUCACUUUAAUU